ACUUCCAUAUAAGUCUCGUAGGCAUGAAAAUCAACAGCUCUGAUCUUCUGUUGUUGAUCAUAUAUCAUGGAGUAGAACUGAGGAUUGUGCCUUUCCUCAGCAUCAUCCCAAUAAUCACACAUGUAAGAGAGGCGUGCUGCGUUCAAAGCCGCCACUUCGAAGUGCGCCAAUAGCAAGGCAGGAAUAUCUGCAGUUCCUCGCAUUUUGGCAAAGGGAAUGAAGCUUUUCAAGAAUGUCAGCUUUGCUUCAAGGGCUUGGACUUGAGCACUCAAAGCAGCAGAAAUAGACGAUUCACUAAUGUCCCCAUCCA
rnacentral:lncRNA from 1 species